rnacentral:rRNA from 1 species
AACGAACGCUGGCGGCAGGCUUAACACAUGCAAGUCGAGCGCCCCGCAAGGGGAGCGGCAGACGGGUGAGUAACGCGUGGGAAUCUACCCAUCUCUACGGAAUAACGCAUGGAAACGUGUGCUAAUACCGUAUACGUCCUUCGGGAGAAAGCUUUAUCGGAGAUGGAUGAGCCCGCGUUGGAUUAGCUAGUUGGUGGGGUAAAGGCCUACCAAGGCGACGAUCCAUAGCUGGUCUGAGAGGAUGAUCAGCCACACUGGGACUGAGACACGGCCCAGACUCCUACGGGAGGCAGCAGUGGGGAAUAUUGGACAAUGGGCGCAAGCCUGAUCCAGCCAUGCCGCGUGAGUGAUGAAGGCCCUAGGGUUGUAAAGCUCUUUCACUGGUGAAGAUAAUGACGGUAACCGGAGAAGAAGCCCCGGCUAACUUCGUGCCAGCCGCCGCGGUAAGAC